CCUACGGGAGGCUGCAGUGGGGAAUAUUGGACAAUGGGCGAAAGCCUGAUCCAGCCAUGCCGCGUGUGUGAAGAAGGCCUUCGGGUUGUAAAGCACUUUCAGUGGGGAAGAAAGCCUUGGGGCUAAUACCCUCGAGGAAGGACAUCACCCACAGAAGAAGCACCGGCUAACUCCGUGCCAGCAGCCGCGGUAAUACGGAGGGUGCGAGCGUUAAUCGGAAUUACUGGGCGUAAAGCGCGCGUAGGCGGUCUGAUAAGCCGGUUGUGAAAGCCCCGGGCUCAACCUGGGAACGGCAUCCGGAACUGUCAGGCUAGAGUGCAGGAGAGGAAGGUAGAAUUCCCGGUGUAGCGGUGAAAUGCGUAGAGAUCGGGAGGAAUACCAGUGGCGAAGGCGGCCUUCUGGACUGACACUGACGCUGAGGUGCGAAAGCGUGGGUAGCAAACAGGAUUAGAUACCCGAGUGUC
rnacentral:rRNA from 1 species